CGGGACAGGGGUGCGGUCGCGCUCAAGGGGCCAAACCCCCUUGGGUGAGGAAAGUCCGGGCACCAUAGGGCAGGGUGCCAGCUAACGGCUGGGCGGGGUAACCCGACGGAAAGUGCCACAGAAAAGAGACCGCCAGCGGCCGGGCCCAAGGCCCGGUGCGGGUAAGGGUGAAACGGUGGGGUAAGAGCCCACUGUCACGCGUCACGCUUCGAGGUCAAUUUCAGUCAUCUUUUUAGUGCAGUUUGACUGAGUUCGGUCAUUUUGAGGUUCGUAAGGUGAGCGUUUAUGCGCACGGAACAUGAGCGUUAUCAUGUAAAGUAGCAGGGCCGGGGCUCCAUGCCCCGACCC
rnacentral:RNase_P_RNA from 1 species